UGUUUUGAAAAUUGUUUCUCUUGGAGAGUUUUGGGAAGCUUUAGUUUUCAGCAGGUUUGAGGAUGCAAACCCUCAAGCUUGGAGGCAGUGGACGAAAUCCCAUUGUCAGUUGGAGUUAUCAUUCAGGUGGCUCACUUUGUGCUUCAGGUUCUAUUUACUGGUUAUCCAAUCAAACUGUAAGUUUUGUGGCUACGAUUGGAUUCUUUCUUGUUGUUACUCUAUUAAGGAUUUGAAGCUAUAUUCAUAUCUUAAAUUUCAGAAGUUCUGUUUAAAUCUGAAAUUUAAUGUUUUUUAGUGUAAUUUGAUGAAUAAAUUGAAACCAAUUACAAGUAAAUUGUGUGUUGCAUUUAUGUGGUUGGUUGGUUCAAAUUUUUACAAUUAAUAUCCGUAGGGAGAUAUUUCAGUGGUAUCAGAACAGGAUUUCCUACGACCCUAUGAAGUUUAGAGUUGAAUGGAAUUCAGCCUCCUAUUGGAGAGAAAUUUCACAUAAAGGAUAAUUGAAAUAUUUAAUCAUUUCUUCUUCUUCAGAGUGUUAAAUGAAGUAGAUGAUUUGAGAAUUAAAUUCUUCGACUUGUGACCUUUAUUGAAGCAUCAAAUCUCCCUCAUACGUAGCCGUAAGAAAUCUGGAGUAAAAAGCUUGAAAAAAUUUGGCCGCUCACAAACUUGUACCGGAUACUCCUGUGGGCGAAUAAAGAUUUUGGUCAGGAUCUUAAUUAUCACCGACACCUGUAUCUGGAAAGUGGUCGACAUUCCUUUGAUCACAUUUGAAGCCGUUAAUGGAGUCGUGAGUAUACACGGAAAACAAAGUUAGCAAAUACGGAGAAAAUUCCUUCGAAAUUGGCAGAGCUGUUAUUUGAUGGGAGUAAUUUAUGUUGCAUAUUUCUUUGGCAACUGAAAUUUGUCCAGGUCCGUGAAACUUCCAGGUUCGUUUCUGUUUUUCUUGGGGGGCAGAGUAUGUAUUAUUGGCCGUAGUGGUUUUGCUUUAGCUGUAAAGAAGACAUCAUCACGGGCGACACUGGAAGUAUUUGGUGGUACGACUGUUGUCAGUAGCAUUCAGAAUGACUUAAGGGAAGCAGCGCCUUAGGAGGAUACAGGCACAGGCGCCAUUGUUAAUCAUUUAAGCAGCCUAUCUAGUAUCCAUCGCUGAAGAAGCUCCUUCAAUGCUGGGCAAAAAUUUCAGAUUUGGGCGUAUUUAUAUAGUGCUAGGGGUGUGGUCUUCUAACUGAAUGUAUUCCUUGGUGCUGGGAAUGAGCUUCAAUCUGGACGUAGUCUCUAUUUGGUGGGCGAAUUACUUCCUCUUGUUCUUCUACGCUACUGGUAGCCAGAGCAAUGUGGUGCCUAAGCUAGCAGUAGCAGUUGCAUAGAAAUCUUUUCCAGGUCGACAUGGAUCCAUCACAUAUCGCAGACAGAGAUGUACCUUGCAACACUUCUACCGAGAAGAUGUUCGGGGAAAGGGAAAGGGAGUUGCAGUACCUAAGCACCUUUCUAUGGAUGUGGAAUCAUUAGGGUUAAACAAUGAUGACCCUGAAUAUCCCACAGACCUUGUGAAAUUCUUUAAAAUGCCUCUUAUAAAAAUUAGAAAAGAGAUUGUUGCUUUGGCAGCCGUGCAUCCUACCAUUGAUGAGAUACGACAUAGGGUGGGAUUAUUGUAUAAAACAACAUAAAACUUGCAAGGUGUUGCAGGAUUAGGUGAUGACGAUUUUCUUGUAUUAUCACUUGCUUGGCUUAUCACUCUGAGUACCCAAAACACAUCAUACUUGAUACUGUCAAUUUUCAAAAUAAAGGUUCAUCCUUGUUUACAAUUCUUGCACUUUUCAUAUAUUUAAUGUUUGAUAUAUUUAAUGUAUUAUUCUUUAGGUGAUGUCAAUGUUACUAUGCAAAUGUCGACGUCGCCUCAUUAGAGGUCACCCUCACCUGUAUUGUCGACUGCAAUGUCGGCAAUACGUAGCAUGCAGACAUCCUCUAGUGCACGUCAUAUUGGCCCGCCCACUGUUGAGGAGAUGCACAUGAGGAUGUGCCACAGGCGACUACUGCUGAUAACAUAGCAUUGUUUCCUGGAUCUUCUCGUAUUGCUAGUACGGGAACAUUGCAGGCCACAUUCGUGGUGAGCGACGAAGAAAUGGUUCCCUUAAAGAUACAAAAGGUUCUAGGCAAUGAUAUUUUCUAUAAACAUCUUAGUGACAUUGCAUUGUAGAUAUUUGAGCCCACCAUACGUAAAAGGUGGAAUGACCAAGAAAAAAGGUUAAAAGAUGAAUUGACAAACCAAAUGGUUGAGUGGUUGAGUGGUUUGGAAAUGACACCUUUGACAAAACCAAGCUCCUUGAAAAAGCUGACACAUAUCUAAAGUAUGUGAGGGACCAAUACAUGACCCAUUUGGAGAGGAACCUAAAGUACGAGCGUCCCCCCAUGAUUCCAGAGAGGGAGUGGAAGGACCUGAUUUUGGAAGCCAAGGAGAGAAUUGAAAGGAAAAAAGGAAAAACACCAGUAGAUGCCAGAAGAAGGUACGGGAUACUAUUACGAAUGUAAUUAUGUACUAAUUAAUUACUCUUUAUAUUUAUAUAAUCUAACAUAUUUCAAAAUUUUAAAAACUGAGUGACACGUCAAAGGCAACCAAGGCAAGGCAAGAAAAGCAUGGGCAACACAAACUCGGCUCUGGUGGUUACAUGAAACUUGCUGCACGAAUUGGCUCUGAAUUCAAUAGAGCGCCCACAAAAGAUGACAAGAGAAUUUCCUACCAGCAAGGCUAUUCAGUCGUGGCUGAUCGGCUAUGAGAAUUGAGUGGGCAUACACAACAUUCGAGUGCAUCCGUCACAUAGCUUGCUAAUUGUGAAACACCACUUGCACAUGAAGGUCCGGAUGUGCAUCCCAGUAGUGGAGAGCAUGUAGUCGGUGGUGAGCAAGUGGAGCAUGAUCUGGGUACACAACCUCAAGAACGUGAUGUUCCCCACUCAGAGGACCCCCCUUCGCUUCAGUGUCCUCGUCCUCAGUAUAGGACUAGGCAUACAUUGAGAUCACGAGCAGUUGGUGGAACAUCUGCAGAGGGGGGAAAUGAUGAAGA